rnacentral:snRNA from 1 species
GUGCUCGCUUUGGCAGUACAUAUACUAAAAUUGGAACAAUGCAAAGAAGAUUAGCAUGGCCCCUGCACAAGGAUGACAUGCAAAUUCAUGAAGCGUUCCGUAUUUUU